rnacentral:rRNA from 1 species
UGCAGUCGAGGGGUAUAAGUCUUCGGAUUUAGAGACCGGCGCACGGGUGCGUAACGCGUAUGCAAUCUACCUUUCACAGAGGGAUAGCCCAGAGAAAUUUGGAUUAAUACCUCAUAGUAUUAUAGAAUGGCAUCAUUUUAUAAUUAAAGUCACAACGGUGAAAGAUGAGCAUGCGUCCCAUUAGCUUGUUGGUAAGGUAACGGCUUACCAAGGCUACGAUGGGUAGGGGUCCUGAGAGGGAGAUCCCCCACACUGGUACUGAGACACGGACCAGGCUCCUACGGGAGGCAGCAGUGAGGAAUAUUGGUCAAUGGACGCAAGUCUGAACCAGCCAUGCCGCGUGCAGGAUGACGGUCCUAUGGAUUGUAAACUGCUUUUGCACAGGAAGAAACAACAUUACGUGUAAUGUCUUGACGGUACUGUGAGAAUAAGGAUCGGCUAACUCCGUGCCAGCAGCCGCGGUAAUACGGAGGAUCCAAGCGUUAUCCGGAAUCAUUGGGUUUAAAGGGUCCGUAGGCGGUUUAGUAAGUCAGUGGUGAAAGCCCAUCGCUCAACGGUGGAACGGCCAUUGAUACUGCUAGACUUGAAUUAUUAGGAAGUAACUAGAAUAUGUAGUGUAGCGGUGAAAUGCUUAGAGAUUACAUGGAAUACCAAUUGCGAAGGCAGGUUACUACUAAUGGAUUGACGCUGAUGGACGAAAGCGUGGGUAGCGAACAGGAUUAGAUACCCUGGUAGUCCACGCCGUAAACGAUGGAUACUAGCUGUUGGAAGCAAUUUCAGUGGUUAAGCGAAAGUGAUAAGUAUCCCACCUGGGGAGUACGUUCGCAAGAAUGAAACUCAAAGGAAUUGACGGGGGCCCG